rnacentral:rRNA from 1 species
GAUGAACGCUGGCGGCGUGCCUAAUACAUGCAAGUCGAGCGAACGGACGAGAAGCUUGCUUCUCUGAUGUUAGCGGCGGACGGGUGAGUAACACGUGGAUAACCUACCUAUAAGACUGGGAUAACUUCGGGAAACCGGAGCUAAUACCGGAUAAUAUUUUGAACCGCAUGGUUCAAAAGUGAAAGACGGUCUUGCUGUCACUUAUAGAUGGAUCCGCGCUGCAUUAGCUAGUUGGUAAGGUAACGGCUUACCAAGGCAACGAUGCAUAGCCGACCUGAGAGGGUGAUCGGCCACACUGGAACUGAGACACGGUCCAGACUCCUACGGGAGGCAGCAGUAGGGAAUCUUCCGCAAUGGGCGAAAGCCUGACGGAGCAACGCCGCGUGAGUGAUGAAGGUCUUCGGAUCGUAAAACUCUGUUAUUAGGGAAGAACAUAUGCGUAAGUAACUGUGCCCAUCUUGACGGUACCUAAUCAGAAAGCCACGGCUAACUACGUG